UCGAUUCCGGAGAGGGAGCCUGAGAAACGGCUACCACAACUAAGGUUGGCAGCAGGCGCGCAAAUUGCCCAAUAGCAACACAUCGCUGAGGCAGCGAAGAGAAAUAGCAACUUCAUGCGGUUUUCCCGUGUGAAGAUUGCCAUGGACGAUAUCUAAACCUGUCGCUGAGUAUCAAUUGGUGGACNAGUCUGGUGCCAGCACCCGCGGUAAUUCCAGCACCAAUAGCGUAUAUUAAUGCUGCUGCUGUUAAAAAGCUCGUAGUUGGAUCAAGAGUUGGACAGUGCACGGUGGCCUCGUCGACUGCGUGGUUCCGAUCACAAGGAAGGCGGCGGAUCAACCCCGUGCAUCAAACUGUCCACUCUAACAGACCGAAACGGCGCCCUGUGAGUAAGCUCCUUCAUUGGGGCUGAAAGCGCCUUCGCAUUCACCAUAUGCAUACGGGCCGUCGGUCAAUGUUACUGUGAACAAACCAGCGUGCUCAAAGCAGGCUUUCGCCUGAACGUUCGAGCAUGGAAUAACAAGGGAUCGAUUCUCUCGGUUCUUUUUGUUGGUUUUUAACCCGAGAAGGAGUAAUUCAGGUCACGGUGUCUGAGCCAGGUACCCCUUCGCCCAGGCGGAGGCCCUGGUUAGGCCGUGGCCUUACGGGACUAAUAGGGACGGACGGGGUCGUACGUACUUCCACGUCAGAGGUGAAAUUCUUAGAUCGUGGGAAGACGAACUUCUGCGAAAGCAUUCGACAAGAACGCCUUCAUUAAUCAAGAACGAGAGUGUGGGGAU
rnacentral:rRNA from 1 species